CAGCAGCCGCGGGAAUACGAAGGGUGCAAGCGUUAAUCGGAAUUACUGGGCGUAAAGGGUGCGUAGGCGGUUGUUUAAGUCUGUUGUGAAAUCCCCGGGCUCAACCUGGGAAUGGCAAUGGAAGCUGGACGGCUAGAGUGUGUCAGAGGAUGGUGGAAUUCCCGGUGUAGCGGUGAAAUGCGUAGAGAUCGGGAGGAACAUCAGUGGCGAAGGCGGCCAUCUGGGACAACACUGACGCUGAGGCACGAAAGCGUGGGGAGUAAACAGGAUUAGAUACCCCCGUAGUCCCUGUCUCUUAUAC
rnacentral:rRNA from 1 species